GGGAAGGUAGCUUAGUGAUAGAGUGCUUGCCUUGUAUGCAUGAGGCCCUGGGUUCGAUUCCUCAGCACCA
rnacentral:tRNA from 1 species